CAGUCGCCGCGGUAAUACGGAGGGUGCAAGCGUUAAUCGGAAUUACUGGGCGUAAAGCGCACGCAGGCGGUCUGACAAGUCAGAUGUGAAAUCCCCGGGCUUAACCUGGGAACUGCAUUUGAAACUGUCAGGCUGGAGUCUUGUAGAGGGGGGUAGAAUUCCAGGUGUAGCGGUGAAAUGCGUAGAGAUCUGGAGGAAUACCGAUGGCGAAGGCAGCCAUCUGGCCUAAUACUGACGCUGAGGUACGAAAGCAUGGGGAGCAAACAGGAUUAGAUACCCGCGUAGUCCCUGUCUCUUAUAA
rnacentral:rRNA from 1 species